UGCCAGCAGCCGCGGUAAUACGGAGGGUGCGAUCGUGAAUCGGAAUCACUGGGCGUAAAGCGCGCGUAGGCGGUCGCGUAAGUCGGAUGUGAAAGCCCUCGGCUUAACCGAGGAAGUGCAUUCGAAACUGCGUGACUUGAGUAUGGGAGAGGGUUGUGGAAUUCCCGGUGUAGAGGUGAAAUUCGUAGAUAUCGGGAGGAACACCAGUGGCGAAGGCGACAACCUGGACCAAUACUGACGCGGAGGUGAGAACGCGUGGGGCGCAAACAGGAGUAGAUA
rnacentral:rRNA from 1 species